rnacentral:rRNA from 1 species
ACGCACUCUUCGGAGUGAGUGGCAGACGGGUGAGUAACGCGUGGAAACGUGCCUUUCUCUACGGAAUAGCCCUUGGAAACGAGGUGUAAUACCGUAUACGCCCUUAGGGGGAAGGAUUUAUCGGAGAAAGAUCGGUCCGCGUUAGAUUAGUUUGUUGGUGGGGUAAUGGCCUACCAAGACUACGAUCUAUAGCUGAUUUGAGAGGAUGAUCAGCCACACUGGAACUGAGACACGGUCCAGACUCCUACGGGAGGCAGCAGUGGGGAAUCUUGGACAAUGGGGGAAACCCUGAUCCAGCCAUGCCGCGUGAAUGAUGAAGGCCUUAGGGUUGUAAAAUUCUUUCACCGGGGAAGAUAAUGACGGUACCCGGAGAAGAAGCUCCGGCUAACUUCGUGCCAGCAGCCGCGGUAAUACGAAGGGAGCUAGCGUUGUUCGGAAUUACUGGGCGUAAAGCGCACGUAGGCGGAUUAGUAAGUAAGAGGUGAAAUCCCAGGGCUCAACCCUGGAACUGCCUUUUAAACUGCUAGUCUAGAGGAUAGGAGAGGUCAGUGGAAUACCGAGUGUAGAGGUGAAAUUCGUAGAUAUUCGGUGGAACACCAGUGGCGAAGGCGACUGA